GACGAACGCUGGCGGCGUGCUUAACACAUGCAAGUCGAACGAUGAACUUGGAGCUUGCUCUGGGGGAUUAGUGGCGAACGGGUGAGUAACACGUGAGUAACCUGCCCUGGACUCUGGGAUAACUUCGAGAAAUCGGAGCUAAUACCGGAUAGGACCUUGCACCGCAUGGUGUGGGGUGGAAAGUUUUUCGGUUUGGGAUGGACUCGCGGCCUAUCAGCUUGUUGGUGAGGUAAUGGCUCACCAAGGCGUCGCCGGGUAGCCGGCCUGAGAGGGUGACCGGCCACACUGGGACUGAGACACGGCCCAGACUCCGACGGGAGGCAGCAGUGGGGAAUAUUGCACAAUGGGCGCAAGCCUGAUGCAGCAACGCCGCGUGCGGGAUGACGGCCUUCGGGUUGUAAACCGCUUUUAGUAGGGAAGAAGCCUUCGGGUGACGGUACCUGCAGAAAAAGGACCGGCUAACUACGUGCCAGCCGCCGCGGUAAGAC
rnacentral:rRNA from 1 species